UCAGAUGGGAAACACAAGGAAACGUGAAGUUAGUUAUGCUCUUUACUGUGUUUCCAUUGGAACUCGAAAAGAGUCUUUUUCUUUCUUCUGGGUGAUCUUUGCCCAACCUCUUUCCUCCUCUGCCUACUGCCCAGAAAAGGAUAAAAAAGCAUCUCUCUUCGUGGCGCCCUCUAGAGGUUAGAACAGGACGAUUGUCCUGUGCAGUUAUCUGUGCAUGAGAUGCUUGUGUCACUUUAAUCAGUGACUUGUGCAUGGAAUCUUGGGAAUUGAGGAGAGCAGUUUAAGCGCUGUGAGAAAUUCUUUACUGGGUUACGAGGUUGCUUGUAGUGCAUAGGAGACAAAUAAAAACGGUUCACAAUCAACAGUUACUUCUAAUCCAGCUCACCAAAAAAAACCCCUAAAACCUAGAGUGCACUGCCAGCUCCCACUGUCUUGGCAAUAUGUUUAGAAAGCAGUUAAAUUGCUUGUGUAAUGUAUAACCCUUUGUUUCACCCGGAGGCAUUGACAUCAGUUGUCACAACGAUGGUGGUCUGCACAUCAUAGCUAGGUAGCAACAGCUUUGGCCCGUCUAUACAGAGACGAGGUAUUUUUACAUGCAUCCCAAACUCUGCAGAGAAGGAUGAAGAGCUGGGAGGAGAUUGAAAGGCCAGGGGGUGGGAGAAGCACUAGAAAGAAAGGGGGAUGCUAAGAAAGAAAAGAAAAAAAUCUCAAACGACUCUUGCUAUUGUAUGAACGUAAAAUACUGUUUACGUUAGACAUGCCAAAUGAUAAAGCAAUUAAAAUAUCAUCAUGUUCUGAAAUAGAAAGACAUUUUAUCUUUGUUUUCUGCUGAUUCAGCUUAUGGAGGUUCAAUGUGGUCCCUAGCAUCUGCUUUGCCCACAAGUAGUCUAGGGAUGUCUGUCUCGGAAUCGAAGCAUCUGAAAUGAUCUAGAUCACAAACGUAAGUUCCAUAUUCUAGGAAAUGAGUGGGCAUUUUUUCUUGGCAGUCCGGUGAGUCACCCACAGCAGCACAUCUUUGUCAGACACUGAACUCUACAAUCUCUCAUCCUCUACUUACGCCUCCAAUAUUCUCACUGGCUUCGGCAAAGUGCAGUGAGAAAGUCUGAUGUGUUCAAUGGGGAAAGCCCUACAACACCAAACCUCCUUGCAGACCAGGGUCAGUAAUGGUUGAUUGUCAUGUUGAGUCCCACUACACAGCAUUUGUCACCAGCACAGUGCUGGGUGCAACUUAUCUGUCACAUCAGUCUGAGACACAAAGUUUUAGGCAUAAAAAGCUCAUUUUCAGUAAACCUUGUUUGGUUUGUUUCAUGGCUCUGAGAAAUUUGUUUGACUACAUAGCAUCCAAAGUAGAAAUAUUCAGACUCUGAGAGGUGCAUUAAUUAUACACUGGCUGGAAACGUCCGGGACCUACUGAAUCAUUUAUUUAAGAGUUAACCUUUUCGCACAUCACCAUAUGCCUGAUUUUAACUUUAAUCAUUAGAGUCAGAUGCUAAUGACCAUGAUUUAUGAAUGAGUCUCGACUUUCUGUGGAUUAUUUUGUGAUGAUGGCCUUAAUAUAGACUCCAUGCUGGUGCUUUACUGUUCUCAUCACUGGAGAUAAAUAUCAUUUGGCUGUGAUCAGAAGCUGAGAUGUAUGACCAAGAUUUGAAUGUACAGCGUCCGCACAUUUCAACCACGUGGACGGAUUGCGUGAGGAGGCUCAAAGGUGGAAUUUUGACCAUGAUUCAUUCUCCUCCCCAGUACAGUCCUCUCUAACCCGGUAGGGCAGGUUAAGUGCUGCACGUCUGUCUCACCAAAGGCCGUGGUCACUGUAGAAAGCCUUAAGCCAAAAGGAGUUCUCUGUAGUCCCUAAUCGAAUAGUCAGAAGGACAGGCUGAGGAGGAGUGCAACAUGGCUCAGAACUGUGCUGGUUGCUUUCAGGAAUUAGUAGAACGAACAGGUCAUAGGUGGUCAAAUAGAACUGAGUUGCAGAUACGUCACAAGCAGGAAUGGGCAAUUGAUCACGUUAGAAAAGCAUGGCUCCAAGGCCCUGGGUUCGGUCCCCAGCUCCGAAAAAAAGAACCAAAAGAAAAAAAAAAAAAAAAGAAAAGCAUGGCUCACACCCAUGAAUCCAGGCACAUCACAGACGUUUACUAAAGUGCCAAAUCCACAAAACAAAUGAGUUUUGAAUGAAAUAGAUAAUAUAUUUUUAAAAGUCAAAAAUUCCAGUUGUCUUUUGAGUUCCAUGAUUGACAUUUGAUUAGUUUAGGAUAUAGGACCUGCUCUUUUCAAAUUAAAUUCUAGGUGUAAAACUGUGUUCUGGUUGGUUUGGGAACUUGACUAUUUAAGCCAUUUCCAAUACAACUUUUUCCUGACUAUGUUGGUGUGAAAAAUUUCAUGUGUUAUAUAAAUAUCAUGGCUGUCUCUAAUAACCAGCCAAGGCUCAGAGAUUAGGAAGGUCUGUUGACUCUCCUACAGAACCAGAAGACUGAAAAAUAUCAGUGACAGGUGGUUCACCUGAAUUAGCUUUUGCAGGAAAGUUGUCUACUUAAUUAAAAUGUGUUGGGAGCAAAUGAAAACCUGCCUUUGAUGUCUGCCUCAUUUUUUACGGUCUACAGGAAGCACGCUGAUUGGUGUGGAAGAAUGACUUCAUGCCAGGUCAGGAGCCUUAUUACAACGAUGCUAUCAGAUAUUUAAGGCCUCGGGUCCCCCAACGUUGCUCCUGCCUUACACAUUAACUGGACAUGGUCCCAGCAUAAGGGACGGCUGAAGACAGCCUCCUUAAGGCCUCUGAUCCCACAUCCUUUUUCCACCCAAGCUCUGGCCAUCUGUGUCUACAGCCUGAUUUCAUUCUCCCCAGUUCCAAAGCUGCCUUUCUCUCCCCUCUGUUGCAAACCCUGCUAAGUUGGUUUGAGAGGCUUAGCAGAAAGAAGCCACCAGCCCUUACGUCAAAUUCACGGGCGUCCCCCUAACUCCCUUCAUCCUUCUUCUCAUAAUACCUCAGAGCUUAUGGGAAUGGAAACCUUGAGCUCCAUCCAGAAAUGCCCCGAGGUAGAACUGAUCCCAGGAGCAUGGCAGAAGGGGUGCUCCACAGUGAGCUGAGUUGACCUGGCUAAUGAGGAUAUAAACACACUCACUGAAUGGGUGGAUGGAGGACGACUCAUAGUCCAGGGAGUGGUGCCAUUCAGAGAAAGCAUGGCACCUAACACGGUGCUUUAAAAAUCGGUGAGCCAAUGUCCAGGGUGCUCGUCAUUGCCAUGGCAGACAUUUCUUUUCGGAGCUUCACAUUUGGACUUCAUGAUUCACAGAAUGCUCCGUCCAUGGGCAACUUGGGCUUCAAGCGACUGGGCACACGGAACGAUGAAACACAGAUUAGAAGCUACUGGGGUGAGGGGCUCCUGACAGUGCAGACGGUUGUCAUCUGCAAAGCUCAUGCUUGAGAGAUUCACAAGCUAAGAAAAUAAGUAAAGGAAGAGAGGAAAGAAAGCUUUGCCCAAAACCCUCAUGCUACUUCAAGUAAGAUCACAGUUGUGUGUUCUGGUUUCAGGUUGGGCAUCUCAGGCUAGCACGGCAGCCUCGCCUUCCCAACACCACAGAAGUCCGCACAGCUCCACGCCAACCGCAACAGGAUACUCAAAAGAGGAUUGUUGAAUGAUUUGAAAACAACGUUCUCGAACCGUUUGGAGUCUUGAGAUUGAUCGGUGUUUCAGAGGAAGACAGUCAGAAAAGCUUCUCCAGGGACUUUCAAUAAAAAGCCAAGUAGCUGCCAUUCAGCUCUUGGGAGCAGCCUCACAGAGUCCACGCCACAGAAUAUGAGGUUAAUGCCUCCUAAAUCCUGAAGGCUUUAAUGGACCAGAUCUCCCCUUACAGUGCUGGGAUAAACUCUACCCUCUGGAGCAGAUCAAAGUGCUAGUCAAUUCUGAAAGAAUAUUCUUUGUAUAACAAGAAAUGUCCAUUUGAGAAAGAGGAGUAACCAUAAGGCUUCACUUGAUACAGUAGGGCCUUGUGAAAAUUGGAUUCACCAGACUCCUAGACAUAUCCAAGCAGAGAUCUUUGGCUGCAGUCCCUCCAAUGAACCAGAGGAAUUUGUUAUGUAAGGUAAUGGCCUGAACAUGAGGAGCAAUUUGGUUCAAGGCAUGCCCCAUGGUAAUAAUUUUGAGAUAUCCUGAAGUUCGGUUUGCUAAAACAUCUCCAAAAAAAAUGAAAGGCUUCGAUACAAUUCAGUGGUUUGAAACACAGCGUAUUUGUAAUGCUAAUCAAAAAUAAGCCUACCAAAAGCAUUGCCUCUUCUUAACAACAGCACUGCACAAUAUCCCGAUUCUAGAAGUGUCAGUGCCGUCUACACAAAGUAAAGAUCUUCUGUGCUUUUAGGCUUAAUAAAAAGCAAAGUAUAAGGCAUUCCAUGGUUCACUGAAUUAUUCUGUUAUGACCUACAAACUAAGUACAAUUUUGGCUUUAUUUUGUGAAGUAUUUCUGGAUGAGGGCAUAGCUUGGUGUUUAAAUGUAUGUUUUGUGUGCACAAAAGCCUCUGUGUACAGCACCACACACACACACACACACACACACACACACACACACAUACACACACCAUUUUUAAGAUAAUUGUAAAGGGUGAAAUAUUGGGUAAUUACAUUGUUAAACACAACUGAAUGUCAGUUAUGUAGAACAGGAAUUAGAACAAUUCUCCCCGGGGCUGGGAACUCGGUGAAGGUGUGCCCUCGCCACCCUGGGAAGACAUGUCAUAACAGUAGCCAGUGCUGGGCCCUUACGGUGUCCCAGAGACCGCACGGAGGAAUCUUUGAGUGCUGGUUUCAGCUGUACAGCAGUUUCAGGGUUUAGUACUGUGUCACUGUUACCCUUGGGGAUUGGAGAAAGGAUUAAUGAAUUUGUCCAGAAUGAAUAAUUUGAAAUGACAGGGCAGGGCCCAUCUGUGAUGGGAGUAGCACCUGUGUCACAGUCUGGGACUGAGUAUUUCCUAGAACAAAGGGCCAGCUCUCCUCCUCUCCGCCUCACUCACUGCUCUGCAGCUGAAAUGCUUUUCCAAUAGUCAGGUUAGAUUUCAGAAGUCGGACUGGGGAAAAAGGGCAAACUCUGGAUCUUAGUUCACCUAAUAGGUGUUAGUUUAACUUAAAUAACACAGUCAUUUUUAACGUACACACUCAUGUACACGUCUAGUUAUCUCUGAAAGAUGUCUUUCCCUCUGGGAAAACAGUAAUUUAUUUUUAAACACAGACUUUCAAAAGUCCGAAGAGAAGAAAGCUGAAAUAGCAGCUUUGUCUAGGCAGAAGAAACAAGCAAGCCAUUUACAUGGAGAAAGAACUGUCUGCUUGGGCAUAAUUAAACAUGAAGAAAUAUUUAUGUGGCUUAUUGAUUUUAUAAUACCACAGGGACUCAAACAGCGAUGCAGACGGAAGAAAGCACAAACCUAACUGAACCGGUGCUGCAUUAACCACUCCUCCGUGGUAUCAAGUUACAAAAAAAAAA
rnacentral:sRNA from 1 species